GGAGAGAUGGCUGAGUGGUUGAAAGCGGCUCCCUGCUAAGGAGUUAUGGGGUUUUAGGCUUCAUCGAGGGUUCGAAUCCCUCUCUCUCCG
rnacentral:tRNA from 1 species